rnacentral:rRNA from 1 species
ACUGUCAAGCUAGAGUGCAGGAGAGGAAGGUAGAAUUCCCGGUGUAGCGGUGAAAUGCGUAGAGAUCGGGAGGAAUACCAGUGGCGAAGGCGGCCUUCUGGACUGACACUGACACUGAGGUGCGAAAGCGUGGGUAGCAAACAGGAUUAGAUACCCUGGUAGUCCACGCCGUAAACGAUGUCGACCAGCCGUUGGGUGCCUAGCGCACUUUGUGGCGAAGUUAACGCGAUAAGUCGACCGCCUGGGGAGUACGGCCGCAAGGUUAAAACUCAAAUGAAUUGACGGGGGCCCGCACAAGCGGUGGAGCAUGUGGUUUAAUUCGAUGCAACGCGAAGAACCUUACCUACUCUUGACAUCCUGCGAAUUUGGUAGAGAUACCUUAGUGCCUUCGGGAACGCAGAGACAGGUGCUGCAUGGCUGUCGUCAGCUCGUGUUGUGAAAUGUUGGGUUAAGUCCCGUAACGAGCGCAACCCUUGUCCUUAUUUGCCAGCGCGUAAUGGCGGGAACUCUAAGGAGACUGCCGGUGACAAACCGGAGGAAGGUGGGGACGACGUCAAGUCAUCAUGGCCCUUACGAGUAGGGCUACACACGUGCUACAAUGGUCGGUACAAAGGGUUGCCAACUCGCGAGAGUGAGCCAAUCCCGAAAAGCCGAUCUCAGUCCGGAUCGGAGUCUGCAACUCGACUCCGUGAAGUCGGAAUCGCUAGUAAUCGUGGAUCAGAAUGCCACGGUGAAUACGUUCCCGGGCCUUGUACACACCGCCCGUCACACCAUGGGAGUGGACUGCACCAGAAGUGGUUAGCCUAACGCAAGAGGGCGA